rnacentral:rRNA from 1 species
GAUGAACGCUGGCGGCGUGCCUAAUACAUGCAAGUAGAACGCUGAAGGAGGAGCUUGCUCUUCUGGAUGAGUUGCGAACGGGUGAGUAACGCGUAGGUAACCUGCCUGGUAGCGGGGGAUAACUAUUGGAAACGAUAGCUAAUACCGCAUGACAACAGUUAUUGCAUGAUAACUGUUUAAAAGGGGCAACUGCUCCACUACCAGAUGGACCUGCGUUGUAUUAGUUAGUUGGUGAGGUAACGGCUCACCAAGGCGACGAUACAUAGCCGACCUGAGAGGGUGAUCGGCCACACUGGGACUGGGACAAGGCCCAGACUGCUACGGGAAGCAGCAGUAGGGAAACUUCGGCAAUGGACGGAAGGCUGGACGAGCAAAGCCGCGGGAGUGAAGAAGGGUUUCGGAUCGGAAAGAUCGGUUGUAAGAGAAGAACGAGAGUGAGAGUGGAAAGUUCACACUGUGACGGUAUCUUACCAGAAAGGGACGGCUAACUACGUG